rnacentral:lncRNA from 1 species
ACAUCUGUGGUAUCUGGAAGAUUAAUCCAUUCAAAUGACAAAGUGUGAGUGCUCCCCAAUAUGGUACUAACAGUAGUGACUUAUUGGUUUUGGCAAACUAUGCAAAAGACUGCCUUUUCUUGGAUGUUAAGUGGAAAUACACAUUGAUUGUGUGCAAGUCAAGAUCUGCAAGUGAUGAUUGUGUAAAUCAAGACUAACGAUCAAGUAACACCACCAGAAUUGACUUCAUAAGGCUCUCCUAAACAUUUAAUAACUUGGACAAAACAUGUGUGUUGCGGUGGAUCGCCUGGUCUGGCCUCCUAAUCUUUCCCAUUUACUAAGUUGCAAAUUCUACUUUCUUGCUGCUGUCAGGUUCAUGAAGAUAGUUAGAAAAUUCAAUAAGGUAAGAAGAAUUUGUUUUCCAGACCCAAGCCUAGGACACUGUUUGUUUUGUUUUGUUUUGUUUUUUAACUGUUUACUGGUCCUAGAAGUUUUUAAAGCAACAGAUCAAAGUGUUUCUAGCUGUGACAGGUUGGAAGGCACCAGGUCAUAA